UACGUAGGGCGCGAGCGUUGUCCGGAUUUAUUGGGCGUAAAGAGCUCGUAGGCGGCUUGUCGCGUCGGCUGUGAAAACCCGCGGCUCAACUGUGGGCGGGCAGCUGAUACGGGCAGGCUGGAGUUCGGUAGGGGAGACUGGAAUUCCUGGUGUAGCGGUGAAAUGCGCAGAUAUCAGGAGGAACACCGGUGGCGAAGGCGGGUCUCUGGGCCGAUACGUGACGC
rnacentral:rRNA from 1 species